rnacentral:rRNA from 1 species
AGAGUUUGAUCCUGGCUCAGAACGAACGCUGGCGGCAUGCCUAACACAUGCAAGUCGAACGGUGUUAUAUAGUACUGUAUUAUAUGACAUAGUGGCAAACGGGUGAGUAACGCGUGGGGACGUACCCUUCAGUAAUGGAUAACGGAUGGAAACGUACGCUAAUACAUUAUAGAAUUGAGAGAUGAAAGAGAGAUCGCUGAGGGAGCGGCCCGCGUUAGAUUAGGUAGUUGGUGGGGUAAAGGCCUACCAAGCCGAUGAUCUAUAGCUGGUCUGAGAGGAUGAUCAGCCACAUUGGGACUGAGAUACCGGCCCAGACUCCGUACGGGAGGCAGCAGGUGGGGAAUAUUGGACAAGUGGGGGGAACCCUGAAUCCAGCGAUGCCGCGUGAGUGAAGAAGGCCUUCGGGUUGUAAAGCUCUUUUAUAAGUGGAGAUAAUGACGGUAACUUAUGAAUAAGCUCCGGCAAACUUCGUGCCAGCCGCGGC